rnacentral:rRNA from 1 species
UACGAAGGGGGCUAGCGUUGCUCGGAUUGACUGGGCGUAAAGGGCGCGUAGGCGGUUCGUACAGUCAGACGUGAAAUUCCUGGGCUCAACCUGGGGGCUGCGUUUGAUACGUGCGGACUUGAGUGCGGAAGAGGGUCGUGGAAUUCCCAGUGUAGAGGUGAAAUUCGUAGAUAUUGGGAAGAACACCGGUGGCGAAGGCGGCGCACUGGACCACAUCUGACGCUGAGGCGCGAAAGCUAGGGGAGCAAACGGG